AUAACCCCGGGAAACUGGGGAUAAUUCCGGAUAACGCAUAUAUGCUGGAAUGCUUUAUGCGUCAAAUGGAUUCGUCUGCCCAAGGAUGGGUCUGCGGCCUAUCAGGUAGUAGUGGGUGUAAUGUACCUACUAGCCGACGACGGGUACGGGUUGUGAGAGCAAGAGCCCGGAGAUGGAUUCUGAGACAUGAAUCCAGGCCCUACGGGGCGCAGCAGGCGCGAAAACUUUACAAUGCGGGAAACCGUGAUAAGGGGACACCGAGUGCCAGCAUCAUAUGCUGGCUGUCCGGGUGUGUAAAAUACACCUGUUAGCAAGGGCCGGGCAAGACCGGUGCCAGCCGCCGCGGUAACACCGGCGGCCCGAGUGGUGAUCGUGAUUAUUGGGUCUAAAGGGUCCGUAGCCGGUUUGGUCAGUCCUCCGGGAAAUCUGACGGCUUAACCGUUAGGCUUUCGGAGGAUACUGUCAGGCUUGGAACCGGGAGAGGUAAGAGGUACUACAGGGGUAGGAGUGAAAUCUUGUAAUCCCUGUGGGACCACCUGUGGCGAAGGCGUCUUACCAGAACGGGUUCGACGGUGAGGGACGAAAGCUGGGGGCACGAACCGGAUUAGAUACCCGGGUAGUCCCAGCCGUAAACGAUGCUCGCUAGGUGUCAGGCAUGGCGCGACCGUGUCUGGUGCCGUAGGGAAGCCGUGAAGCGAGCCACCUGGGAAGUACGGCCGCAAGGCUGAAACUUAA
rnacentral:rRNA from 1 species